AUGGCUGCUAAACAAAGUGAUUUGGGGUGGGACAACACGUUUACAGCUGGUAGGGGGCGGGGCAGUCUUUUGAAUACGCCUGACAGAGCAAAGCUGUUUGAAGAUCCUGAGUACUGUAGUACAGGUCGGGGUAGAGGAAUUGGUCUUUCCCCCGAUGACAGAGUUCAAAUGUGCGGUAGUCCAAUCGCUGCAGCCAGUAACUAUGAAUUCGCUCCUCAAGAGUCAGAAAUGUCUGGUCAAAUGAGUAACCUCAUAAGACAAAUUGGUAUUGAGAUUGGGCAAUCAAUUAGAGAGAGUAUGAUGAGGCCUGACUUUUCUAACCAUCCAUCUGCUAGAAAGUUACAGGAAGGUGUCAGUGGUCAUGUGACUGACCCCUCUAAUACUACUGUCAUUGACGCGUCAAAAAUGAACUUGAUCCUGAGAGCUGAGGUGUCCGCACCACCACACUUUCGAGGAGAUAGUUCAGACAAAUACUCAGUCCUGGAAUGGGAAGACACGAUGAGGGUAUAUUUGAACAAACUUGAUGUGACAGAGUCUGAAAUGGUUGAUGAGAUAAUGAACAGAGUUAUGGGGCGGGCCAGAGAUGUAAUGAGAGUAUGGCUGUGCAAUGGUUCUACAACUCCAACUGUUGAUUCUGUAUUUUCUGUUUUGAAGCAGCACUUCGGGGACCAGAGCAGUUCAGGUAUUCCUUUAGCUGACUUCUAUUCUGUGAGACCAUAUCCCAGGGAGAGCGCUUGGGAUUUUUGGAUAAGACUAAACAAGGCAGCAGAUGUUGCAGAGCAAAGUUUAAGAUGGGAAGGGAGUUCCCUGGAUAACAGGAGCAAAGAGGUGGCCGUUAUGUUCAUUCGUAACUGCCCUGACAAAGAGUUAGCUUUCGUUUUCAAGAGUAAGCCUGUACAGUCAUGGAAUGCAUCUGAGGUGCAGGAGCAGCUUGACGAGUUGUUAAGGGAACGCAAGUUGACGAAUCACACUGUCAAACAAUUCACCACGGUUGUCUCAGAGCCAGACGUUGAUGUGCCUGUCUCAUCGUCUAAGUCUGAACAGGGUGGGGGCGUAGCUGACGAGAAUGCAUUGGACAAAGUCCUGUCUUUGCUUGAAAAAACGUAA
rnacentral:lncRNA from 1 species